rnacentral:snRNA from 1 species
GUCUGUGUACAGUAUCAUAGCCAAUGAGGUCCAACCGAGGCGUGAUUAUUGCUAAUUGCUCAAGCGGAAGCUGUGAUCCCAUUAAGGAAGAGCUGCUGGCUUAUUUUUUGUCGGGGGCUUCGCACAUGCUC